GAUUAGAUACCCUGGUAGUCCACGCCGUAAACGAUGUCGACUUGGAGGUUGUUCCCUUGAGGAGUGGCUUCCGGAGCUAACGCGUUAAGUCGACCGCCUGGGGAGUACGGCCGCAAGGUUAAAACUCAAAUGAAUUGACGGGGGCCCGCACAAGCGGUGGAGCAUGUGGUUUAAUUCGAUGCAACGCGAAGAACCUUACCUACUCUCGACAUCCAGAGAACUUAGCAGAGAUGCUUUGGUGCCUUCGGGAACUCUGAGACAGGUGCUGCAUGGCUGUCGUCAGCUCGUGUUGUGAAAUGUUGGGUUAAGUCCCGCAACGAGCGCAACCCUUAUCCUUUGUUGCCAGCGAUUCGGUCGGGAACUCAAAGGAGACUGCCGGUGAUAAACCGGAGGAAGGUGGGGAUGACGUCAAGUCAUCAUGGCCCUUACGAGUAGGGCUACACACGUGCUACAAUGGCGCAUACAAAGAGAAGCGACCUCGCGAGAGCAAGCGGACCUCAUAAAGUGCGUCGUAGUCCGGAUCGGAGUCUGCAACUCGACUCCGUGAAGUCGGAAUCGCUAGUAAUCGUGGAUCAGAAUGCCACGGUGAAUACGUUCCCGGGCCUUGUACACACCGCCCGUCACACCAUGGGAGUGGGUUGCAAAAGAAGUAGGUAGCUUAACCUUCGGGAGGGCGCUUACCACUUUGUGAUUCAUGACUGGGGUGAAGUCGUAACAAGG
rnacentral:rRNA from 1 species